GCUAGUGGGAGGUUUCCCUUCUAAUACUGAGGAAAAUGCUUAGUGCCUCAGUCUGAGAGGGAAGGACCCCACUAUCAUUAGGUGCAUGCAGGUUUGUCUUAAAAUAACCUUCUCAUCAUGUGAACAACUUGAAAAUGAGAAAGAAAGAGAGGAUCUACAUGAAUACAAAAUGUCUCACUCUUCUUAAGCAGCAGUUGAAUCAAAGACCUGAAAAUGAAGAAAUCAAAGAUUUCCCUGCUCCAGCUCCUCCCUGGAAGAUCAUU